GAUGAACGCUGACAGAAUGCUUAACACAUGCAAGUCUACUUGAAUUUGGGUUUUUUAACUUAGAUUUGGGUGGCGGACGGGUGAGUAACGCGUAAAGAACUUGCCUCACAGUUAGGGACAACAUUUGGAAACGAAUGCUAAUACCUGAUAUUAUGAUUUUAAGGCAUCUUAGAAUUAUGAAAGCUAUACGCGCUGUGAGAGAGCUUUGCGUCCCAUCAGCUAGUUGGAGAGGUAACGGCUCACCAAGGCGAUGAUGGGUAGCCGGCCUGAGAGGGUGAACGGCCACAAGGGGACUGAGACACGGCCCUUACUCCUACGGGAGGCAGCAGUGGGGAAUAUUGGACAAUGGACCAAGAGUCUGAUCCAGCAAUUCUGUGUGCACGAUGACGUUUUUCGGAAUGUAAAGUGCUUUCAGUUGGGAAGAAAAAAAUGACGGUACCAACAGAAGAAGUGACGGCUAAAUACGUGCCAGCAGCCGCGGUAAUACGUAUGUCACAAGCGUUAUCCGGAUUUAUUGGGCGUAAAGCGCGUCUAGGUGGUUAUGUAAGUCUGAUGUGAAAAUGCAGGGCUCAACUCUGUAUUGCGUUGGAAACUGUGUAACUAGAGUACUGGAGAGGUAAGCGGAACUACAAGUGUAGAGGUGAAAUUCGUAGAUAUUUGUAGGAAUGCCGAUGGGGAAGCCAGCUUACUGGACAGAUACUGACGCUGAAGCGCGAAAGCGUGGGUAGCAAACAGG
rnacentral:rRNA from 1 species